GGUUUUUGUUGGGCGGGUCUUGUUUUGUUUAUUACCCUAUCGGGUUUACACUAUCGGGCUUCGGGUACCCGAUGGUUUUUUUUUUUAAAAAAAAAUUAACCGAAACGACGUCGUUUUACAUUAUAUUUUACCCCAAAUUUUUGUUUCUCCCGUAACCACAGCCACAAAACACAGAUCUAGAAAUUAGACAUGCUUUCUUGCGACGAUUCAUUCUAGAUUGGGUUCAUUGGCCCCAACGAAAGGAGUCAAAGUGUUACCAGAAGAAGUCCGUACGUGAUUACCUUCCUCUUCGUUCUCUCUAUAAAAUGAUGGAUUCACAAACACUUGACACACUAGCAGCUCUUGAGGCUGCAAAUGAGCAAAUGGAGGUUGAUGAUGAUGAUGAAGCAGAAACU